rnacentral:rRNA from 1 species
GACGAACGCUGGCGGCGUGCUUAACACAUGCAAGUCGAACGGUAAGGCCCUUCGGGGUACACGAGUGGCGAACGGGUGAGUAACACGUGGGUGAUCUGCCCUGCACUUCGGGAUAAGCCUGGGAAACUGGGUCUAAUACCGGAUACGACCACUGCCUGCAUGGGUGGUGGUGGAGAGCUUUUGCGGUGUGGGAUGGGCCCGCGGCCUAUCAGCUUGUUGGUGGGGUGAUGGCCUACCAAGGCGACGACGGGUAGCCGGCCUGAGAGGGUGACCGGCCACACUGGGACUGAGAUACGGCCCAGACUCCUACGGGAGGCAGCAGUGGGGAAUAUUGCACAAUGGGCGCAAGCCUGAUGCAGCGACGCCGCGUGAGGGAUGACGGCCUUCGGGUUGUAAACCUCUUUCAGCACCGACGAAGCGCAAGUGACGGUAGGUGCAGAAGAAGGACCGGCCAACUACGUGCCAGCAGCCGCCGUAC